rnacentral:rRNA from 1 species
GAACGGGGCCUCGCAAUUGGAAUGAGUACACUUUAAAUCCUUGUACGAGGAUCGAGUGGAGGGCAAGUCUGGUGCCAGCCGCCGCGGUAAUUCCAGCUCCACUAGCGUAUAUUAAAGUUGUUGCGGUUGAAACGCUCGUAGUUUGACUUCUGCUCCGGACCGGCGGUCCGCCUUAGCGGCGGCUACUGCCGGGUUCCGAGCUGUGUCCCCGCCGGCGCACAUGGGGUUUUUAUGCCCUUAACCGGGUGUCCCCUUGUGGCCGGCACGUUUACUUUGAAAAAAUUAGAGUGCUCAGAGCAGGCUGGUUUUUGCUUACAGCCCGAAUGGUCGUGCAUGGAAUGAUGGAACAGGACCUCGGUUCUAUUUUGUCGGUUUUUCGGAACCCGAGGUAAUGAUUAAUAGAAGCAGACGGGGGCAUUCGUACUGCGACGCUAGAGGUGAAAUUCUUAGACCGUCGCAUGACGACCUACUGCGAAAGCAUCUGCCAAGGAUGUUUUCAUUGAUCAAGAACGAAAGUUAGAGGUUCGAAGGCGAUCAGAUACCGCCCUAGUUCUAACCUUAAACGAUGCUGACUAGCGAUCCGCCGCAGUUAUUCCCAUGACCCGGCGGGUAGCUUCCGGGAAACCAAAGUCUUUGAGUUCCGGGGGAAGUAUGGUUGCAAAGCUGAAACUUAAAGGAAUUGACGGAAGGGCACCACCAGGAGUGGAGCCUGCGGCUCAAUUUGACUCAACACGGGGAAACUCACCAGGCCAGGACACCGGAAGGAUUGACAGAAUGAAGGCUCUUUCUCGAUUCGGUGGGUGGUGGUGCAUGGCCGUUCUUAGUUGGUGGAGUGAUCUGUCUGGUUAAUUCCGAUAACGAACGAGACUCUAGCCUGCUAAAUAGUCGACGGAUCUCAACCCCGUUGCCCCCGUUGUCGUUCGCGGCGAUGCGGGGCGCGGGUUCCCCGAAACCCGGUCGUCGUGCGGGCCUCCACCGUCGGUCGGUUAGCGCCGCCGGCGGCGCGCCCCGCGGCGCCGGAAACUGGCGUCCGCUUCGCAGUCUUCUUCUUAGAGGGAUAAGCGGCAGCAAAAAAUAUACUAGCCGCACGAGAGUUUGAGCCAUAACAGGUCUGUGAUGCCCUUAGAUGUUCUGGGCCGCACGCGCGCUACAAUGGAGAGUUCAGCGAGCUGGCCCUGCUCCGAGAGGAGCGGGUAACCUCGUGAAAGCUGUCCUUAAAGGGGAUUGGGGCUUGCAAAUGUUCCCCAUGAACGAGGAAUUCCCAGUAGGCGCAAUUCACCAGAUUGCGCCGAUUUAGUCCCUGCCCUUUGUACACACCGCCCGUCGCUACUACCGAUUGAAUGGUCUAGUGAGGGCACCGGACUGGCGCCCUUGGAGCCGCUACCGCCUCGGCGGGCAGCGCCCUCGGGUCGACGGAAAGGUGUCCAAGCUGGGUCAUUUAGAGGAAGUAAAAGUCGUAACAAGGUUUCCGUAGGUGAACCUGCGGAAG